rnacentral:rRNA from 1 species
AACGUAGGACGCAAGCGUUAUCCGGAGUUACUGGGCGUAAAGCGCGGGCAGGCGGCUCGAAACGUCUGAUGUGAAAUCUCCUCGCUCAACGGGGAGAGGCCAUUGGAAACGGUCGGGCUGGAGGGCAGUAGAGGCAGGCGGAAUUCCGGGUGGAGUGGUGAAAUGCGUAGAGAUCCGGAGGAACACCAGAGGCGAAGGCGGCCUGCUGGGCUGCACCUGACGCUGAACCGCGAAAGCUAGGGGAGCGAACGGGG